rnacentral:rRNA from 1 species
CGGGACACGUGGUAUCCUGUCUGAAUAUGGGGGGACCAUCCUCCAAGGCUAAAUACUCCUGACUGACCGAUAGUGAACCAGUACCGUGAGGGAAAGGCGAAAAGAACCCCGGCGAGGGGAGUGAAAAAGAACCUGAAACCGUGUACGUACAAGCAGUGGGAGCCUCUUAAUGGGGUGACUGCGUACCUUUUGUAUAAUGGGUCAGCGACUUAUAUUCUGUAGCAAGGUUAACCGAAUAGGGGAGCCGAAGGGAAACCGAGUCUUAACUGGGCGUUAAGUUGCAGGGUAUAGACCCGAAACCCGGUGAUCUAGCCAUGGGCAGGUUGAAGGUUGGGUAACACUAACUGGAGGACCGAACCGACUAAUGUUGAAAAAUUAGCGGAUGACUU